AUUUAAAAUUUUCUCUCUCCUCUUUACCUUACUUCCCUUCAAUCUUUAAAGUUUUCUUCUUCUUUAUAUAAAAUUUUGAGUUAGUAAUUUGUGUUUUGAUGGGUAUACUCCUUUCUUUCUAAAUCUAUGAGUUUCAGAUUCAAUCAUUUGGCUUUAUCAAAGAGGAAAGAAAAAAAUGGAGGAGAGAGAAAGUUGAGGUCAAAGAAAACAAUGGAGUGAGUACAGAUUAAUUGUAUCUGUAGAAGACAAAGACUCUGAAUUAGUGAAGAAACAACUAAGAAGUGAUGAAGAAGUAUGUGAUAUGUACAAUGAAUUUUCCUUUAAGUUGGAGAAUUUCCGAUGUAUAUGAUCCCAAUUUUAUGGUUGUAUGAUAAAGGUUCAUUUCUAAUAUACUAAAUGUUCAUUUCUUUUUUUUUUUUUGACAUGUUCACUUUUUAUUACCGAAUAUUCAUUUUUAUUACUGAACAUUUAUUUUUUUGUGUUCAUUUUUCUAACUAAAUGUUCAUUUUUAAGGUCGUGGUCUAGCAAAUUUAUGAUUAUAUGAUAAUUAGAUUCAUUUUUAAUAAAUGAUCAUUUCCUUAUAACAUGUUCACUUUUUAGUAUUAAAUGUUCAUUUUUUGUUAUUAUAUGUUCAUUUUUUUUUAUGUUCAUAUUUUUCAACUAAAUGUUUAUUUUUUAUUUGGGCCGCGCGUUUUGGGCCUCACUUGUUGUAACUAUCUUAGCCGCAUUAGAGUGCAGCCAAGACCAAUUGUCUCAACCAGGCUACGUAAUAUAAUGAAGGUGGAUCAAUUUAAUUUCUUGCCUGAUCCAAGCCCAUCAGCGCAUUCCUUUUACAGAACCAACAACCAAGGCCUUCGCUAAUGCCCUCAGUUUGCAAACGCAAGAUAUACAGACUACAUAGUACAUUAUUCUGAACUCAUGCUAAUCUUUCAUCAUCAUACUCGCUAAUGUAGAAAUUAUGAAGGCGCGAUAUGAUGGUUCUACCCAAGCGCACUUUAAGCAAUAUUCCCUCUAUCUAAAGGGCAAAGUUCCGCCACUCUACAUCCUAGCUAUCGGCCUGUCAACUAAGGAUUUAAAGAAUGCAAUGAGCUCGCUCUUCAGCUUCUUGUUCAACAACUUCUGCCAUCACAUUUGUUCGAUGCCACGAAAGCCUCAAGUUGCCCUACUAUAGCCAAGCUAAUUUCUAAGAAUAUUACAGGUGAUCUUAUUUAUAGUUAUGGUAAAUGAAAUACACAAUUUUCUAA